rnacentral:rRNA from 1 species
GAUGAACGCUAGCGGCAGGCUUAACACAUGCAAGUCGAGGGGCAGCACUUGUAGCAAUACAUGGUGGCGUACCGGCGCAAGGGUGCGUAACGCGUGAGCAACAUGCCCGUAUCAGGGGGAUAAUCCAGGGAAACUUGGUCUAAUACCCCAUAGCAAUUAUUUAAGGCAUCUUAAAUAUUUAAAGCUUUGGUGGAUACGGAUUGGCUCGCGUGACAUUAGCUAGAUGGUAAGGUAACGGCUUACCAUGGCUACGAUGUCUAGGGGUUCUGAGAGGAAGAUCCCCCACACUGGAACUGAGACACGGUCCAGACUCCUACGGGAGGCAGCAGUGAGGAAUAUUGGACAAUGGAUGGAAAUCUGAUCCAGCCAUGCCGCGUGCAGGAAGACGGCCCUAUGGGUUGUAAACUGCUUUUGUAUGGGAGCAAUAAGGUCUAUGCGUAGACUGAUGAGAGUACCAUACGAAUAAGCAUCGGCUAACUCCGUG